CGAAUGCGAAAGAGGAAGUAAACUUACGAGAUUGUCGAGAUUUACACUAGUGACGUUUACGAAUGUAAAAGUCUCAAGGUGUAAUAUUUUUGAUAAAGGAAUAUAUUAGAAGUAAAAGUUCGUAGAAGAGAUGACUUGUCAUAUUUUGGUAGCGGCCAUUGAUUUCGGUACAACUUUCUCCAGUUGGGGUUUCUCGUUUAAACAUGAGUUUGACAUUGAACCAACCAAGGUAACUGCUAAACAAUGGACUGGAUUACAAUCAGCAGUGUCUUUGAAAGGACCAACUACAAUACUGAUAAGACCAGAUGGGGAAACUAUUGACAGCUUCGGGUUUUUAUUUGAGACGAGGGAUGCUGAG